rnacentral:rRNA from 1 species
GUCCAGACUCCUACGGGAGGCAGCAGUAGGGAAUAUUGCACAAUGGGGGAAACCCUGAUGCAGCGACGCCGCGUGAGUGAAGAAGUAUUUCGGUAUGUAAAGCUCUAUCAGCAGGGAAGAAAAUGACGGUACCUGACUAAGAAGCCCCGGCUAACUACGUGCCAGCAGCCGCGGUAAUACGUAGGGGGCAAGCGUUAUCCGGAUUUACUGGGUGUAAAGGGAGCGUAGACGGCAUGGCAAGUCAGAUGUGAAAGCCCGGGGCUCAACCCCGGGACUGCAUUUGAAACUGUCAGGCUGGAGUGCAGGAGAGGUAAGUGGAAUUCCUAGUGUAGCGGUGAAAUGCGUAGAUAUUAGGAGGAACACCAGUGGCGAAGGCGGCUUACUGGACUGUAACUGACGUUGAGGCUCGAAAGCGUGGGGAGCAAACAGGAUUAGAUACCCCAGUAUU